rnacentral:rRNA from 1 species
GACGAACGCUGCGGCGUGCUUAACACAUGCAAGUCGAACGGAAAGGCCCUGCUUUUGUGGGGUGCUCGAGUGGCGAACGGGUGAGUAACACGUGAGUAACCUGCCCUUGACUUUGGGAUAACUUCAGGAAACUGGGGCUAAUACCGGAUAGGAGCUCCUGCUGCAUGGUGGGGGUUGGAAAGUUUCGGCGGUUGGGGAUGGACUCGCGGCUUAUCAGCUUGUUGGUGGGGUAGUGGCUUACCAAGGCUUUGACGGGUAGCCGGCCUGAGAGGGUGACCGGCCACAUUGGGACUGAGAUACGGCCCAGACUCCUACGGGAGGCAGCAGUGGGGAAUAUUGCACAAUGGGCGGAAGCCUGAUGCAGCAACGCCGCGUGCGGGAUGACAGCCUUCGGGUUGUAAACCGCUUUCGCCUGUGACGAAGCGUGAGUGACGGUAAUGGGUAAAGAAGCACCGGCUAACUACGUG